GGACCAAGGAGUCUAGCAUGUGCGCGAGUCAUUGGGACUCUGUUAAAACCUAAAGGCGUAAUGAAAGUAAAUAUUUGAUGUGUUCCCUUUAAACAGGUGUAUCACUGAAAAUUUAAGGGAAGAUGGGUAACGAUAUUUAUGUUACCUCGCAUUCCCGGGGCGUCGCGUACUUAUUGCAAGUUGCGGCGCACCAAGAGCGUACACGCUGGGACCC
rnacentral:rRNA from 1 species